UACGUAGGGGGCGAGCGUUGUCCGGAUUUAUUGGGCGUAAAGAGCGUGUAGGCGGCCAGGUAGGUCUGCUGUGAAAACUCGAGGCUCAACCUCGAGACGUCGGCGGAAACCAUCUGGCUAGAGUCCGGAAGAGGAGAGUGGAAUUCCUGGUGUAGCGGUGAAAUGCGCAGAUAUCGGGAAGAACACCCGUGGCGAAGGCGGCUCUCUGGGACGGUACUGACGCUGAGACGCGAAAGCGUGGGGAGCGAAGCGG
rnacentral:rRNA from 1 species